ensembl:lncRNA
AACCGUUGGACAUUCCCUUUGUUUAACAGGAGUGUUUGAAGGAGUGGCUCUUCCGUUACUCAGGAAACAAAAGAGCAAUUUUAGACUUACAGGAACUCAGAGUCUGAAGCGACUACUGCGGGAGCUGUGUAAGGAAAAUACACCUUUUCACCUAGAAGUUGAGUACAUCUUGAUUUAGAACAGAACAAGAAACAUUGAAGAUGCCUGUUCGUCGUUUUCAUAGUGAACCUCUGGAAAACGCAGAGAUUCUCUAUGAAGACACAUAUCGAACUGGUAUAAGAUGUAACCUCAUUUUCUUCACCCACUCUGGAACACACUACAGGGCUGCAAUAGAAGAAGCUUACCCUCAAUCCAAGGCUAUUCGAAUGGAAAUAAACAAGAAAUUCAAACUUGAGCUCUUUGAUGGAGGCACUGUGUCUAUAUUUGACAGUGGAAUCAUUGUGAUUCAAGUGGUUGUACAUGUUGUCCAGGUUGAUGGCCUCGUCUGCUUGCAGCUUUGACUUCAUGCACAUCAGCUGGUCCAAAUGGUCCACUUCAAGACAAUUUCUGGAUGCUGUUUUGAAUGUGAGUGAUGGAAAAUGGCCUCAUACUUCUUUGCCAGCAUGGCAAUGUCUGCUGUUCCAUACUCAAGCUGAC